ACAGGGCUGGAGCUAGGAAACAGAAGCAGAGAACCCCAGGCUCAACCUGGGCUACCCCUAAAAGGGAUUCAGUGUGGACAGAUUACUAUAACUCUGUCACCUUUUGGGACCAUAAACUGUAACUCGAUUGUGUAUAUAUGUUGCCUGCUUUAAUCUGUAAAUAACUCUCAUUCCUUUUUCCUGGUUCAUCAAUUCUUAGUUAGUUAGUUUUUACGAUAGGAUUGGCUACAAGUGUUGUCUUUGGUGUGAGAGCUGAAGUACAAAUUGACCUGAGGUUAACACGAUUUUUAAUGGUGCGCUUCAGAGACUUCCCAGUUGAUAUGCCGGACAAGCCCCCACUUGUAACGCCAACAGACCCUGGUUGUCAUCAGUCGGUGGGAUCUCUGGAGCUUAACAUACAAGCCUCGACUGCAGGAGAUGUGUCUCUAAGGCUGCCGUGGAUCAUAAUGAAAGAAAAUGUUUCAUCAUUCAUACCCAUCACCCUUCAUUCAACAUGAAGAGGAGGACAUUGAAAAAGGAAAGAGAAUAACCUCCAUUCGUUGCAAAGGGAGAACAUUUGCGGGCUCUGCUUUGAAUGAACUGUCUCAAACGCUCAUGGAAGUUUUAUAAUAUAAAGGAAAACUCUAACCGAACAAUGUCAGCUCAGAUGGUUGCAUUCAGGAUGGUUUGUCAGGUGUGGUUCUAUGCCAGGUAUGGACAUGAAUGACGAGAGAACAACUGCUGUGUUUUGCUUUGGAUGUGCUAUGUUUUCCUUUCUGCUGGAAGACAGUAAAGAUUUGUGGUGCAUGAAAUGCAAGCUUGUGGCCAUACUGGAGGACGAGAUACAUAGUUUGGAAGCACAAGUAUCAACACUGUGUAGUGUCUGAGAAAACAAAGUCUUUUUGAACAACCAGAUUCAGAAAUUAUUGCCACAGAUUCCACAUGGGGAAGGUUUGCCAUUGGAGAGAAUAUAAACCAAAGAAGGAGACAGGCAAUUUAAAACCAAGAGGGCGUAAAGAGAAACAGGUGGCAUUCAGUGCAGCUAGUGAGUCAGCUCAGUGAGCCAACUAUCAAUAAACUUAUCUCUAGAAGAAUGGAACAGAAUGCUACAGGAGACAUACUCAAUGGACGUUCUUGUGAUAUGGUCUGAAGCAAUCAGCUACCAAGAGAGAUUCUUCAACUGUCCUAAGAAGACAAGCAAUCAUCAUUGGUGACUCCAUAUUAAGAAGAGUGGACAGAGAAUUCAGCAAGGGACUUCUUAGUUGGAGCAGCCACUG